rnacentral:lncRNA from 1 species
ACUCCACUGUUUGGCUGGGAAAGGACCGAGACGCGCUCAGUGCACAGGGGGCCGGCUGCGGCCAUAAAUCUCCGGGCGGGCCCUCCUUCCCGCUGCUCACGCCGGGGUGCUCCGGGCCGGUCUCGUGUCCCGGGCCACGCCGCGCACCCUGCUCACCCCAUCACGGCCUGGGGACCCGGAGACUGCGCAGGGAACCACGCCAGGAGCUUCUCCGUUCACCAAAGAGAGGGAACGGCCUCGUUCCUCGGUGUCAACACCAUCCAUCUCUGAGGGCGCUGGACCCUGAGGUGGCCCGAGCUUCACAGGAUCACCGCCUUGGGAGACAAGGUCUCGAUACUCCUGGCCUCAAACAAUCCUCCGGCCCAAGCCUCCCAAGCAGCUGGGACUACAGACACCUGCUAUCACACCGGGCUAAUUUUUUUAUUUUUAGUAGAGAUGGAUUUUCACCAUGUUGACCAAACUGGUCUCAAACUCCUGGGCUCAAGAUCUGCCAGCUUCAGCCUCCCAAAGUGCUGGAUUACAGGCCUGAGCCACUGCACCCGGCCUAUUUUACCAUCAUUUUUUAAAUGAAAAAUAAAAGGGAGGGGGAUCUUUGGGGAUCUGCGUGGGUACUUUGCUCCGCUGCCACAGUGAUGUCCCCACGGCCCCGCAGUCCAACUGCGUCCCAUGCAAAGUAUCACUGGCAACCAUAGCCUCGUACCUGAGCUGCCUCUGUUCCAGGGACACGUUCCGGAGCUGACACCCCUCCUCACCACCCGCCCUCGAGUCAUGCUGCGCCACUGCCUCUGCCCCCCAGGAUGCCCCGAGAGGGCACCUUCGACCUUCACUCCUGGGUGGGCCACAUGGGUGUGGAGGCCAGACUGGCUUCACCCCUGCAGCGAUCCGUCCACCUGGAGAGGGCACCUUGUGCGGUUUAAUUUGGUUGCCAUCAUCCUGGAACCAGGCUGUCCCUGGAGACCUAAUCCCUUCUGGGGAUUUAAAAGAAUCAAACUUGCCAAGGAAGACGUGAGCUUCUGGCCCCAGGCUCUGCCAGCUUCCCAUUUUAAUUGGGACCAUUUUUAGCCCUCACCGGGAGGCUUCCGAAAACCCCCCAGGCAUCUCCCUCGGGGCCCACAGGGGUGACGUGUGCCCACCCUAUACCAGGAGCUCCCUACCCUCAUCUCGGAGCCCCCAGCACCCACACCAGCUGCCCCUUCUAUGGGUGGGGCUUUCAGCUCUAGAAGUAAAAGGGAGUUGCCCAAGGCAGACCUGAGCUCAGAGCCUGUGUCCUUGAGGGGCCCUUGGUGGGCAGCAGGUCCCCCUCCUCCCACCCAGAGCCCCCCCCUUCCAUCCGGAAGUGUUGCCUACCACCGAGGCUACAAAACCCACAUGCCAGUCCCUACUCAAUGCCCCUAGGACCGACCGACCCGGCGUGCCCGGGAAUGCCCCAGUUUUCUCACUGAACACCUUCCAUCCAGGCACCCUCUCAUCCCUGGGACGGUGGGUCACCCAGCCACCCACAGAUAAGCACGGUAGGGGGUUGGAGGGUGUCCCCCGAAAAGACAUGUCCACUGGAACCUCAGAUAGGCUCUCACUGGGAAUAACGGACUCUGCAGAUGGAAUUAAGGUAAGGCUCUCGAGAUAAGCGUGCCUGAUUAGAGUGAGCCCUAAAUCCAAUGACUCCCGUCCUUAAGAGACACAGAGCGCACUCCCACGUAACGAGUGCCUGACGGCCGGGACAGAGACUGCAGAGAAGCAGCAACGGGCCCAGGAGCGCCAAGCGUGGCCCGCAGCCACCAGAGGCUGGAGAGAGGCCUGGGAAGGAUUCUCCGUGAGAGACUAGAGAAGGAGCCAACCCUGCCUGCACCUUGAUCUGGGACUUCUGGCCUCCAGAGCUGUAAGACAAUAGGUUUCUGCUGCUGAAGCCACCCAGCGUGUGGGCAUUUGUAACCGCGGCACUAGGGAAUGAACACAGUAGGUGGGCCAGGCACAGUGACUCACACCUGUAACCCCAGCACUUUGGGAGGCCGAGACAGGAGGAUCACUUGAAGCCAGGAGUUCAAGACCAGCCUAGGCAACACGGCGAGACCCCAUUUCUACAUAAUAUUGAAAAAUUAGCCAGGUGUGGUGGUGCACACCUGUAGUCCCAGCUACUCUGGAGGAUGAGGUGGGAGGAGCACUGGAGCUCAGGAGUUGGAGACCAGCUUGGGCAACAUAGCAAGACCCCUUCUUUACAAAAUAUUUAAAAACUAGCUGGGUGUGGUGGCAUGCACCUGCAAUCCCAGCUACUGAGGAGGCUCAGGCAGGAGGAUCUCUUGAGCCUUGGAGUUCAAGGCUGCAGUGAGCCUUGAUUGUGCCACUGUACUCCAGUCUGGGAGACACAGUGAGACCCUGUCUUUAAAAAAAAAAAAGGCCGGGCACGGUGGCUCACGCCUGUAAUCCCAGCACUUUGGGAGGCCGAGGCAGGCAGAUCACAAGGUCAGGAGAUCGAGACCAUCCUGGCUAACAUGGUGAAACCCCGUCUCUACUAAAAAUACAAAAAAAUUAGCUGGGCGUGGUGGCGGGCACCUAUAGUCCCGCUACUCAGGAGGCUGAGGCAGGAGAAUGGCGUGAACCCAGGAGGCGGACCUUGCAGUGGGCCGAGAUCGCGCCACUGCACUCCAGGCUGGGCGACAGAGCAAGACUCGGUCUCAAAAAAGAAAAAAAAAAUGCUGGGCACAUUGGCUCACGCCUGUAAUUCCAGCACUUUGGGAGGCUGAGGCGGGUGCAUCACUUGAGGUCAGGAGUUUGAGACAGCUUGGCCAACAUGGUGAAACCCUGUCUCUGCUAAAAAUACAAAAAUUUGGCUAGGCACGGUGGCUCAUGCUCGUAAUCCCAGCACUAUGGAAGGCCGAGGCAGGCAGAUCAUUUGAGGUCAGUAGCUCAAGACCAGCCUGGCCAACAUGGUGAAACCCCAUCUCUACUAAAAGUAAAAAAAUUAGCUGGGCAUGGUGGUGGACGCCUGUAAUCCCAGCUACUUGGGAGGCUGAGGCAGAAGAAUCGCUUGAACUCGGGAGGCAGCGGCUGCAGUGAGCCAAGAUCACACCAUUGCACUCCACCCUGGGUGACAGAGCGAGGUUCCAUCUCAAAAAACAAAAACAAAAAUUACCCAGGCGUGAUGGCAGACACCUUUAGUCCCAGCUACUCGGGAGGCUGAGGCAGGAGAAUCUCUUGAACCCGGGAGAUGGAGGCUUCAGUGAGCCGAGAUUGUGCCAUUGCACUCCAGCCUGGGCGACAGAGCAACAGAGGGAGACUCCUUCUCAAAACAAAAACAACAACAACAACAACAAAUAGUUGCAUGUCAAUUUUCCCAUUGCAGGGGGUUGGAUGAUGUUCCCCCAAAACUUCCUGUCCACCUGUGACCUCAGAAUGUGACCUUAUUUGGAAACAGGAUCUUUGCAGGUGUCAUUGGUUAAGUAUCUCAAGAGGAGAUCAUCCUGGGCUUAGGAUGGGCCCUAAAUCCAGUGACCGGUGUCCUUCCAAGAAAAGGAGGGGCGCCGGGCGGGCUGGUUCACACCUGUAAUCCCACCGCUUUGGGAGGCCAAGGCGGGCGGAUCAUGAGGUCAGGAGAUCGAGACCAUCCUGGCUAACAUGGUGAAACCCCGUCUCUACUAAAAACACAAAAAAUUAGCCAGGCGUGGUGGCGGGUGCCUGUAGUCCCAGCUACUCGGGAGGCUGAGGCAGGAGAAUCACUUGAACCUGGGAGGUGGAGGUUGCAGUGAGCUGAGAUCAUUCCAUUGCACUCCAGCCUAGGUGACAGAGAGAAACUCCAUCUCAAAAAAAAAACAAAGAAAAAAGAAAAGAAAAGGAGGGGACACAGGCACAGAGAAGGCCAUGUGACGACGGAGACAGAUGGGAGCGAUGCAGCUACAGGCCUGGGAACACCGAGGAUUUCUGGAGCCUCGGGAAGCUGCAGGGAGGGCUGGAACGGAGCCUCCCCGACGGCCUCCAGAAGCAGCCAGCCCUGCCCACACCUUGAGUUCGGACUGCUGGCCUCCAGCACUGUGCAAGAGCAAACUCCUGUCAUUAGAAGCAACCUAGGCUGUGGCCACCCGCCCAUCUCCCUAGGAGGUCUGGCUGCUCUUGGAUACCCGGAGCCUCCUACCUCAGCUUGCUGGGCACUGACCUUGAGCGUUGCUCCCUCGACCUGCAGUGCUCCCUGCAGCGCCCCACCCCAUGGGGGACACAGGAGGGGACUCUCAGAGCCGUCCCCCCGACAGGCCGAGGCUCCUCCCAGGAGAGGACCCCACUGCCCCGCCAGCACUGGACACUGGACACUGUUUUCCAUAAACAUUUCUUUGAACUGAAUUUCAUUCUUCUCACCCAAGAAAUCUCUGGAAAACAAUGCUGAGGCCAGGGUGGAGUGCCGGGGAGAGGGGAUGUUUUAAUGGUUUGUGGAGGGUUUUCUGUUUUGUUUUGUUUGUUUUUUUCUGGCAUUGUCUCUCUCUUCUGAUUUCCCUGUAACUGACAGGGAGGAAAUGGAUUCUGAAAAUGGGUUCCUUCCCACCCCUGGGGGCUCUGAGAUCAAAGUGUGGUGGGGCCGGGUGGACAGGACUUGGUGCUCCGAGGUGGGGUCCUUCCUGAUUCCCUCCCACCUUCUCCACCAUGCCCCCCUUUACCCAACGGGGCCUGGCCAGGAAGGGGCAUACCAGGGGGCUAUUCUGGGGGACAGGUCUCCAGGGCACCUGCCCUGCGUGCCCACCCAGUGAGGGGUUCCUGGCCCAGAGUUGCCCCCUCAGCAUAUCCCAGGGGGCUGGUGACCCUGUAGGCCCCUCCACUUUGCUAAAGAGGAUACAGGGAGGGUUGGUGGCCCAGAACUCACGAACCACUGCUGACCAGGAAUGGCCAAGGGAGGCCCACACAGAACACCCAAUCCCACAGCCACCUGCUCUAGUACCACUUGGGGCCUCUCCAGCCACUGGCCUGGCUGCAUUUGCUCUCCAAAACUGCCACUUUCUUUUAGUUUUUAAGGGACAGGCUCUUGCUCUGUCACUGAGGCUGGAGUCCAGUGGCACAAUCAUAGCUCACUGCAGCCUCAAACUCCCGGGCUCAAGCGAUUCUCCCACCUCAGCCUCCUGAGUAGCUGGGACCACAGGCACACGCUACCACAUUGGGUGUUUGGAUGGAUGAGUAGAUGGGUGGAUGGGUGGGUGGGUGGGUAGGUGGAUCGGUGGGUGAAUGAGUAGAUGGGUGAGUGGAUGGAUGGAUGGAUGGAUGAGUGUGUGGAUGGAUGGAUGGAUGGAUGGAUGGAGAAGUGGAUAGAUGAGUGAAUGGAUAGGUGGAUGGGUGGGUAGAUGGAUGGACAGGUGGGUGGGUGGGUGGGUAGGUGAACGGAAGAGUGGGUGGAUGGGUGAAUGGAUGGAUGGAUAGAUAGAUAGAUAGAUAGAUAGAUAGAUAAACAGACAGACAGAUAGGCUAAUGGAUGGAUGAAUUCGUGCUUUCUGUCCCUUGACCUGGUCUACAAGCCACUUCCCCAGCUAGACAAAGAGAGCUUAGAACCCCAUCCCUGCCAGGAAACAGACAAAAGCUGUCGGGGUCUUUUUUCUCUCUCUCAGCCUUACCUGGGACACACAGAGCUUUACGGUGGGGCCUUGUUCCAGUUGCUGCAGGCUGCCAUUCCUGAAGGUCGGGGGACAAGCUGCCUCUUCAACCCCAGCUCUGCUGGGGGCUCCUCAGCGGCUGGGGGAGUUGUGGGUGGGGCAGGAGACCUGGCGAGAAGCUCACGGGUACCCUCACCCACCUCAUCCCGCCCUGUGCCCAGCCCUGACCCCAGCCCUCCCUCUUUGUACCUCACCCCGUGGAAGGAAACACACUGAAGGUGGGGAGGGGUGGGCCAGAGCCUCAGACUCCUAAGACAAAGGGAGAAAAAUGGACCGAAGAGAGGCAGGGGGUAGACGCAGGCACUGCCUUUUUUCUUUUGUAGACAGGGUCUCACUCUUGUUCAGGCUGGAGUGCAGGGCGCCAUCAUAGCUCACCACAGCCUCCAACUACUGGGCUCAAGUGAUCCUGCCUCAGCCUCCAAAGUAGCUGGGACGACAGGCAUGCAUCACCAUGCUUGGCCAAUUUUUGUAUUUUUUGUACAGAUGGGGUCUCACUCUGUUGCCCAGGCUGAUCUUGAACUCCUGGCCUCCAGUGAUCCUCCUCAGCCUCCCAAAUCUUGGGGAUUACAGGCAUGAGCCACCACCCCCAGCCUUAUUUCCUGACAUUUCUAUGGUAAAAUUGAUUGCUUUUAUAAUCAGAAAAAAUAUACAGUGAGACUUAAAGACACGGUCUGUAACCUUGAGAGGCCAAAACAGCCCGCAGAGGGACAGGCGACUGGCCAUUUUGAUGCUAGGGCCCCAGGCACGAAGCAGGCAAGUCCCCCCUCCCCACUUUGGCCGGCGAGACUUUGAAAAGAAAGCUGGACGUGCAGGAGCAGGGGUUGGGAAGGGGAAUUCCAGGAAGGGGCCUGGGACUGGGGCCCUGGAACCAUGGUGGCCCCCCAGGCCAGAUCCACCCCUGGACAGGUGCAAGGACUCUGGGAGCGGCCCCAAGGAUCCAAAUACCUUCCUCAGCAGCCCCUUUAAUUUGCUUUCUGCAGAAAGUAAGCUAAUGCCGGCAGCGGAGACUUCAUUUAGGAGAAGAGCAGGCCUCGGCAUAUCCCUAGCAUUGGCAGCAUUCCUGGGAGGAGAGGAGGGGAAGGCUGGGGAGGGGAGGGAGACUGGGCUAGAGGGAGCCCGCAGAUUCACCUAAUUCCAGGGUGGAAUUGCUCGCCAGCCACCGUGCCCUCCAUCAUUCUCCAGAGGCCCCACCUAGUUUCCUCAUUCAUCAGUCACCAGGCCUUGUCCUAUGGCCCAGCCGGGGGGAGAUGUCAAGGCCAGGGACCCCUCUGAGGCUCAGAGAGGGGUGCGUAGCAGGAGCAGUAAAGCCAGGACUGGGCACGGUGGCUCACACCUGUGAUCCCAGCACUUAGAGAGACAGAGGCAGGAGGAUCGCUUGAAGCCAGGAGUUCAAGACCAACAUGGUGAGACCUCUGUCUCUGCCAAAAAAAAAAAAAAAGUACAUAUAUAUACACACGUAUAUAUAUAUACGUGUGUAUAUAUAUACGUGUAUAUAUAUACGUGUGUAUAUAUAUACGUGUAUAUAUAUACGUGUGUAUAUAUAUACGUGUAUAUAUAUACGUGUGUAUAUAUAUACGUGUAUAUAUAUACGUGUGUAUAUAUAUACGUGUAUAUAUAUACGUGUGUAUAUAUAUACGUGUAUAUAUAUACGUGUGUAUAUAUAUACGUGUAUAUAUAUACGUGUAUAUAUAUACGUGUGUAUAUAUGUAUAUAUAUACAAAUUUUUUAAAAGCCAGGACCUGCCUGGCCCAAGCUUCCUCCCUGGGGCCUCAGUAGAUGGUUCUAGACAGUGGAAUUCGUGUUCUAGGCCUGGGGCUCUGACCUCAGAGGCCCUGUCAGGAGAUUCAAACCAAGAAGUGAAAUGCAGUGAAAUUCAGACUUGUGCCUCUGUAUACGCCGCGGACACGUGUGUGCAAAGGCGUGUGCAUGUGCGUGUGCCUUGCUUCCUGGGUCAAAGUGGCUUCUGAUCCAGAGAUACUUUGAAGUUCCUUUUUUUUUUUUUUUUUUUUUUAGAGAGAGGGUCUUGCUCUGUCACCCAGGCUGGAGUGCAGUGGCGCGAUCACAGCUCACUGCAGCCUCAAACUCCUAGAUUCAGGCAAUCCUCCUGCCUCAGCCUCGCAAGUAGCUGGGAUCGAAAGCGUGCGUCACCACACCUGGCUAAUUUUUAAAUUUUUUCUAGAGACAGAGUCUGGCUAUGUUGCCCAGGCUGGUCUUGAACUCCUGGCCUGAAGCAACCUUCUGCCUCAGCCUCCCAGGUAUCUGGGACUGCAGAUGUGCACCACCAUCCCCAGCUAAUUUUUAAAUUUUUUCUAGAGAUAGAGUCUGGCUAUGUUGCACAGGCUAGUCCUGAACUCCUGGCCUCAAGCAGUCUUCCCACCUUGGCCUCCCAAAAAGCUGGGUUUAGGCGAGGCACGGUGGCUCACGCCUGUAAUCCCAGCACUUUGGGAGGCCAAGGCAGGCAGAUCACUUGAGGUCAGGAGUUUGGGGCCAGCCUGGCCAACAUGGUGAAACCCUGUCUCUACUAAAAAUACAAAAAAUAGCCAGGCAUGGUGGUGUGCGCCUGUAAUCCCAGCUACUCGGGAGGCUGAGGUAGGAGAAUUGCUUGAACCUGGGAGGCGGAGGUUGCAGUGAGCCAAGAUCGUGCCACUGUACUCUAGCCUGGGCGACAGAGCGAGCCUCCGUCUCAAAAAAAUAAAACAAAAUAAAAGGUUGGGUUUAUAGGCAUGAGCCACUGCACCUGGCCACUUCUAAGUCUUACUGGUUCCCUGCUCUGGGCAAGGCCUGGGCACAAUUUUACAGACGGGGAAAAUGAGGCCCAGGAUCCCACGGUGGUAGAACCGGCUUCUCACAGGCCUGCCGACUGGAAACUCCUCACAGGGUUCCCCCUGAGCCAACAUCCCCCUCCCGUGAUCCCAACCAGAGCUCCUUGCUGUCCUGGGCUGUGUCCCCAAUGGCGGGGCUGUGUCUCCGGCUCCUGGCCUAGGUGGCUCUGAGGGCACCUCUCUGGGCCUGGUCUGGCUGGAGGGGGCCCCAGGAGAGGGUCCCACAGGCGCCCCCCACCAGUCCGCGCCUGCUCCUUCCAGAUUCUGCAGGCUCUGGUGACACCUGCUGGCCACGCAUCCCAUCACCAUAGCAACCCAGGCUGGGCCUCUCAGCCCCCAGCAAGGUUCCCAUCUCAGACACAACGACUCCACCCCCACUGUGUGGGGCCCCAGGCCUCAGCUCAGAGGGGCCCCACCUCCCGCCACCCCCCUCCAGCUCCUCUGGGUCCCUCUGCUCAGUCCCCCUGGCCUGUGUCCACUUCACCCCAAGUCCUUCACCAUGCCCUGAACGGAGCCUAUCUCCCGUCACCCGGACAGUCACCUGUCACCUUGGCGCUGUCACAGCUCAGCCCCAUCCCCAGCUUCUCUGUGGCCCCCACAGACUCAGCAGGCUUUCGCAGACACACAGACACCUGUCCUGCCCGCGCUGUGCCUCAGGGAGAGGCGCAGGUCCCACCAAGCUGCACUGCCAGCCCCAUAAACGGCCCUGCGGUUCCCACCCGGGGGCUCUGCACCUGCGGCUCCCUCCCCAGAAUGCUUUUUCCAGCUUCCUCAGUCUUGCUAACAGUGAUUCAGCCAAGCCUUCCAGAACAUUCCGCCGGCUGUGACCUCCCCAAACCCUGCUCUGUGUUCCUCACACUGUCAUGGCCUGGGGACUGUCCCAUCCCAGCCAGGCCUCCUCCGUGGUGCUGCCAUGAUUUCAGGAUCCCCACGUGUCCAGGGCUGAGCCCAGGGCCGACCUAGGAGGUGUCUGCUGCCCUGAUCCUCUUGACCCUCCCACUCCAGGCCCCAGUCCCACCCCAGGAGGGUCCUCCCCAUCCCCACUCUCCCCUCCUCCCAGGGUCUGCAGGGAGCAGCUGGGCCACCACUUUGCCCAGAGGCAGUCCUGGGGCACAACCUGAGCCCACGUACCCAGCGUGGCACAGCCAGGGACGCAGUGCACAGGAGAGGGCUUAAGGGACCUCCCUGGAGACCCCCAAGUGGCUCCUCGAGUGACGGGGGCUGGUCAUGGACGUUGAACCACCUGGAGGGAGGCUGUGUGGAGAGGCCGAGCUCAAGAGACAGAGCCUUGGUCCUCCUGCCUGCCCCAGGGUGGCCUGUGGUCCUGGGCUGGCCACCACCUCUCGGGGCCUCAGUCUCCCCAUCUGCACUGGAGCGGGUGGGCACACUUGACCCCAUGGCUUGGCAAUGCCUGGCCACACUGCAGGGGCCGAGGGGGUGGCCAGCCCUGCCCCUGAUGCCCACCACACCCUAGGGACGGCUCAGAGCCCAGCCGCUCCUGGGGGCCUGGUCUAUGCCUGUCCCUGGCCCCACACCCCGCAGUCUGGUGGCAGCUGCUGCACCCGCACCUGGAAUGUCCCUGAAAUCCCCAAACCUCAGCUGACCCCAUGGGGGAAAGAGGGCUGGAACCUGCCCCCCUCUCCUCCCCUCCAAGGUGCAGACCCACCCUGUCCCCACACAGAGGGCACACUGAGUGCCCUGCCCCGCCCCGCUCUGCCCAGAGAGGCCGGAACAUCAGGGGAGCUUGGGCCAGUCUGGCCACGCCUUGGAAAUAGUGGCCACGCAUCAGCCCGGGGAGGCCCCAGGCCUGGUCAGCCUCCAGGUCCUGCCCGCCAGGCUCAGCUUCCCGGCCCUCCCGCCUCCUCUCCCCGCUCCGGUUAAUCUGUCAGUUCCAUCUGUCUCUGUCUUGUUUGUCUCUCUAUCUCUGUCUCAGUCUGUCUCGAUCUCUGUCUCUGCCUUGCUAUCUCUGUCUCCAUCUGCCUCUCUCUCUGUCUCUGCCUAUUUGUCUGUCUCUGUCUCUCCAUCUCUCUCUCUCUUUAUUUUUAAAAUUUUCUUUUAUAUAGAGACAGAGUCUUGCUGUGUUGCCCAGGCUGGUCUUCAACUCCUGGGCUCCAGUGAUCCUCCAGCCUUGGGCUCCCUAAGUGCUGGGAUUACAGGUGUGAACCACCGUGCCCAGCCAAGAAACAUCUCUAAACCCCUCUCUUCCUCCCAGCAGUGACUGUGAAGGGCACUGGGGACAAAUCCCUUUUUGAAAGGAUCUUCUGGAUGAUGUCAUGGAUUUGGGCCUCUUCCUGCUGGGGGUCACUGGGUGGUACUUCUUGGCCAUCCAGCCAAUAGCAACAGGCCAGCAUGUGAUGACGUCACUGUCACCCCCACUGUCUCCUCGGGUUCCAAGGAGCAAGAGGCUUGCACCAUUCCUCUCUAAUCUGAGAUGGAUUUUGUGGGUUUGCGUGGGGGGAAGGUUUUGUUUUUUUUUUUUUUAGCAAGAAUCUUCUUAAGCCAUACACCCAUCUCAUUAGGAUUAGUUUUGUUAAUCUAUAGAUCCACUUAUUCGGCCGCACGCCAGCCUCCGAGUGUCCCAAACACGAAGUCAAAGGGUGAGCAGAGCACCUCGGGCCGGCCCUCCUCCCCUGGGAGGAUCCACCUCUCCCAUGGGACAGGGACAGCUACGACUUUCGGCGGCUCCCUUCUAGGCACUGUUCCAAGCAUCUCAUGGACUGUUCUGUGUCUCCUCCCAAAGGAGGAGGGGGAAACUGAGGCCUCAGGAAAGGGGCAGCUUGCACAGAGCCAUACAGCCGGGGCCUCAGAUAAAUGUGAUUGCUCCAGAUCCCUACCAGCACAAGUCAGGCAAAUCUGUACAUUCAAUGUUAGCAAAGUUUGGUUGGUUGGUUGGUUGUUUUUUAGAGAGAGGGUCUCACUGUGUUGCCCAGGCUAGUCUUGAACUCGAGCUCAAGUGAUCCUCCUGCCUCAGCCUCCAAAGUGCUGGGAUUACAGGCAUGAGCCACUGCUACUGGCCUGCAAAGUUUUUGUUUGUUUGGUUUGAGAGUCUUGCUUUGUCACCCAGGCUGGAGAACAGUGGCACAAUCAUGAUUCACUGCAGCCUCCACUUCCUGGGCUCAAGCGAUCCUUCUGCCUCAGCCUCCCAAGUAGCUGGGACUGCAGGCAUGCACCACUACACCCGGCUAAUUUAUUUAUUUAUUUAUUUUUUUUGAGACGGAGUUUUGCUCUUUUGCCCAGGCUGGAGUGCAGUGGCACAAUCUCAGCUCACUGCAACCUCUGCCUUCCAGGUUCAAGCGAUUCUCCUGCCUCAGCCUCCUGAGUAGCUGGGAUUACAGGUGCCUGCCACCAAACCUGGCUAAUUUUUGUAUUACUAUUAAAGAUGGGGUUUCACCGUGUUGGCCAGGCUGGUCUCGAACUCCUGACCUCAUGAUCCACCUGCCUCCGCCUCCCAAAGUGCUGGGAUUACUGGUGUGAGCCACGGUGCCGAGCCACAUCCGGCUAAUUUUUUAAGAUUUCUGAUUAUUGUAGAGAUGGGGUCUCACUAUGUUGCCCUGGCUGGUCUUGAACUCUUCCUGGCCACAAGUGAUCCUCCUGCCUCGGCUGUUUUAUUCUUAUUUUAUAGAAAAGAAUAACUUAAAAAGAAAGUGUUAUUUUUUUUUUCUCACGUGAGUAAAUGAUCUUGUGCAUCCACUCCAGAGGCCACUGGAUUAGUAUCAGUUUGAUGUCUUGUUACCCAUCCAGACUGAUUUCUGAGAAGCAGGAGGAAAGAAAUGAGUUCCUCAAUGAGUGAAAAGAAAGAACCUCAUUUUACAGAUGGGGCCCUGAGUGAGGCUCAGAGAGGUUCAGGAAGCUGCCCCAGGGCACACAGCGAGGGAGCAACAGAGCCUGGGAGCCGAGGACAGGGACACCCUCCAGCCUGCAGGGCCCCAUCAGCACCCAGGUUGCAGAGUGGGGACUCACGGAGGAGAAGGCGUCCCCAGGGCAUAAGACGCCUCCCCCACUGCCCAUCAGCGCAGAUGGCCACCCGAGCUGCCAGUGAGAGAGGACGCGCUGCUUGGCUAAGCCGCUGUUGUUUGGGAUUUUCUAUCUCUCGAAUCCUAAAGGGUAGAGUUUGCUUACCAAUGCCGCCCUCACCCCUACAGUUGGGGAAACCAGAGCCUGGAGGGUGGUGCUCUAAGAGUGAUCCCAGUCACACUGGCACUCCGAGUGCCACCUUCCACGCCGUCACUUUAGGAGUUUGCUGUGAGGUUAGCCUCAUCAGCAAACUCGAGGCUGGCUUCCUAUCCUCUUGCUCAGGGAGCAACCCUGGCACUACUGGGGAGGACUCUUGGGGAUUAUCUUGAGAGCACUCUCAGAGGAGCACUCCAAGGAGUACUCUUUGGGAGCAUAUCUGGGGAGCACUCUUGGGGGGGAACAUAUCUGGGGAGCAGUAUCGGGAGCACCUGCAGGGAGUAUUCUCGGGCAUAUGCUUGGGUAGCACUCUCAAGGAGCACUCAGGGCACAUACUUGAACAUUCUCAGGCCACAUACUUGGGGAGCACCCUCAGGGAAGUACUCUAGGGAGUACUCUUGGGGAGCCUAUCUGGGGAGUAGCAUCAAGGAGCACUCUCGUGGGAGCACUACCUUAGUCUCCUUGCUCGCCACUGGCUUCACUGGCGUCAGAAGCAAUUCCACAAGCCCAGCCCCUCCUGUCCUCCCUGAUUCCCCACAGGACAGUGCCAUCCCCUCGGUGGGAAUGGGCUCCUAUUAUGGGUUUGCAUUCCCAUGGCGCCAAGUCGGUCCUGAGAAGAUCCUCCGGGAUUGCUGACCAUCCACUUCCCCGCAGGGGGGCUCAAACCCAGGCUGUGAAUUCGGGGAAGUGGGAAACAGAACUUUUUGGAUGUCCCUAGAUGGUGCCUCCCCCCCACCCCCACUACACACACACAAACACACACACACACACACACACACCACUUCCAUGGCGCCAGGAGAGAGUUUGGUCCUUCAGCAAGAUCACACUCUUCUCCAUAUGACCCCAGCCAAUGAGCGGGCGAGACCUGGCCAUCUCUGCCCCAUGCGGGACUCUCUCAUGGGCCGUGCUGGCUCCAGCAUCGCAGUCUAACAGCUCCCUGCCGCAUUUCGUUCCCUCUGUGCUCCUUCCCCAGUGUCACUCCUCCUUCAAACCCCAAGAACCCGUUUGCCCUCCGCAGUCCUUCUCAGCAUCUGCUUCCUGAACGACCCAACCUCCGUUCUGCACUGGCCCGGUCACCCCACCGAAACUGGCAACUCCUGCUCCCACCUAACGUCAUCAUGGGACCUAAAAGCAGACCAGUCCCCACUGCUGUCCUCCCCGAGGCUCAGCUCUGCCCAGGAACCCGCUGCCUGCUCCCAUCCCUGGUCCUUUAGGCCCAUGGCAUCUGCUCUCUCGGGACAGUGCUCCCCCUGCACCAGUCAGCCUGCCCUGGGCUCUCAGGAGGCAAAGCCAGCCAUCCCUCAGUUUCCACUUCACCCCUUCCCAAGGCAGUGAGCUUGGGGGCAGCUCGAAUCAGUGGGAGGACAAACCAAGGGGGAUCUCAAACUCAUCACGAUGUGCUCGCACAGAAACCCCUCAUCUCACGCGGUCAAUUACAAACCCUGGGAAGUGGGGACAGGCGAGGCCCAAGGGGCCCUGAGAGCAGGGAGGCAGAGCCUGAGGGCAGAUUCUCUGAAUCCUGAAGAAUAAGCAGAAGCAGCAAACUCAGCAAGGUGGGGGGGCUCCAGGCAGAGGGAACAGCUUGUGCAAAGGCCCUGGGGCAGGCCAAGGGCAGAGAACUUAAGGUAUGGAAAAAAAAAAAAAAAGGCAUGGAAAGGAGGCCAGCAUGGCUAGGAGCAGAGAACAGAGAAGGGAGGUUGGGAGGUGAGAAGGGAUGGCCCUGGGUGCUGAGACUCAGAACAGAAUGGGCCAGUCCCCUUUUUUUGUUUGUUUGAGACAGAGUCUUGUUCUGUCAUCCAGGUUGGAGUGCAGUGGUGCAAUCUCGGCUCACUGCAACCUCCAUCUCCUUGGUUCAAGUGAUUCUCCCACCUCAGCCUCCCAAGUAGCUGGGAUUACAGGUGCACGCCACCAUGCCUAGCUAAUUUUUGUGUUUUUAGUAGAGAUUGAAAUUCACCAUGUUGGCCAGGCUGGUCUCAAACUCCUGUCCUCAAGUGAUCCACCUGCCUUGGCAUCCCAAAGUGCUGGGAUUACAGACGUGAGCCACUGCACCUGGCCUAGGGCUGUCCCCUCUAAGAACACACAGACUUGUGGGUGAUGGUCAGAGGACAGCUCAGAUGAGCUCAGCUCAGGUCAGUUCCACAGGAGUCACUAUACUACAUUUUACAAAGGGAUUGGGGGGACUCUGUGAGCACCACAAAAUUCGAUCUGUCCCAUUCUGUGGCAGCUGUGUGGUGUGGGUGCCACAGAAUGGGUGACUACUCUAAGCAAAUCAAGGUGCUCUCAUUCCCCUGGUCAGAGCAAUUGGUUCAGUAGUAGGAAUAAACAAGGAAUCCCACAGCCCAGCUGGCUGGCAGCUAUCCUAAACUGAGUCCUUAGAGAUGUAAGCUGCUGGAUCAAGCUCGACCUGAAGCCUACCCUACCACUGCACAUUUUCCAUCACACCAAAUUCCCUGCAUUGUGAAGCUGUUUCGAGCUAGGUUUUUUAUUAUUUGCUACCAAACACAUCCUGCAACAGGUGGUGGGAGUGAGUUCCUGCAGAAACUCAAUGGAGCAUUAAGGCCACCUCGGAAGCCAUACACAGCAGUCUCCAGAGGGCAGCAAGCUAGAGAAUGACUCUGCAGUGUCAGGGAGGGUCAAGCUGUAUUUUAAAAAGCAACGGAAGGCUUGGGAAAUGCAGCUUUUAGAUAGCAAAGGUCUGUGGUGCCCCAAGUGGCCCCCAUCAGCCAGGAGUGGGUGUUUUGGAGGGAGGAGGUGGCUGGCCUGGGGAAUGGGUCCAGGCCUCCCAGUUCACCAGAUCUCCAGGCCACGUUAUGGCGGAAGGCCAUCCCUAUCGCUGUGCCUGGCUGGCCUGGGCCCACAGCCUGCCUCGCCGGGGAAAGGAACCCCUGCCACGACGGAGCAACUAUUCAAUUCUCUCAGCGAGAGCGCUGCCAGCUUCCUCACUCACACAGCCCAGCUGGAGAACUGCCCACAAGUUAAAAAAUAUUUCUUUCCAGCAGACAUUGCUCCGGCGGAUUCAAGCCUUAUCUUUCUCUUCCAGAGGAGAAUUGUUCAUUUCACUUCCUUAAAAAAAAAAAACAACCCCAAAACCUUAAACCACAAACUGAAAAGCAGGUGGGACCGUUUCAGGAUUUGGCUGAAGUUUGUCUCAGAGCUGAUAAGGGACAGUCAGUUGUUUCUGGGCAACACAGCAGCGAACGGGCAGGGAGACGGGUCCACACUGUCCGUCAAUAAAACCACCCCCCAAGGCCUUGCUCUGUAUAGAGAGGUUUCUGGCCACCCACAGUGGCUCACGCCUGUAAUCCCAGCAUUUUGGGAGGCCAAGGCGAGUGGAUCGCUUGAGGUCAGGAGUUCGAGACCAACCUGGCCAACAUGGUGAAACCCCGUCUCUACUAAAAAUACAAAAAUUGGCCGGGCGUGGUGGCUGAUGCCUGUAAUCCCAGCACUUUGGGAGGCUGCGGCGGGCGGAUCACGAGAUCACGAGUUCGAGACCAGCCUGAUCUACAUGAUGAAACUCCGUCUCUACUAAAAAUACAAAAAUUAGCCAGGCAUUGUGGCGUCCACCUGUAAUCCGAGCUACUCAAGAGGCUGAGGCAGGAGUAUCGCUUAACUCGGGAGGCAGAGGUUGCAGUGAGCCAAGAUUGCGCCACUGCACUCCAGCCUGGGCAACACAGCGAGACUCCGUCCCCCAAAAAAAAAAAAAUUAGCUGGGCGUGGUGGCACAUGCCUAUAGUCCCAGCUACUUUGGAGGCUGAGGCAUGAGAAUCACUUGAACCCGGAGGCAAACAAUGUCUUAACAGAGCAGAAAUGUCAACGCUGGCUGCUGGGUUGGCAGGGCAUUUUGAAAGCAAGUGUGGGCUGGAUGUGGUGGCUGACAGCUGUAAUCCCAGCACUUUGGGAAGCCAAGUUGGGAGGAUUGGUUGAGCCCAGGAGUUUGAGACCAGCCUGGGCAACAUAGUAAGACCCCUCCACCCACAGCCCAUCUCUACAAAAAAUUAACUGGGCAUGGUGGUAUGUACCUAUAGUCACAGCUACUGAGGAAGCUGAGGGUAGAGGACUGCCUGAGGCCAGGAAGUCGAGGCUGCAGUGAGACAUGAUCAUGCCAUUGCACUCCAGUCUGGAUGAUAGAGCAAGACACUGUCUCAAGAAAGAAAAAAACAGAAAGAGAAGAAAAGAAAACAAACGUGUGACCUACUCCAGAACUCAGGCCGGCGGUAGGAUUUUACCAGACACAGGUCUGCAGAGAUGGACCACAGGGCCCUGGCCUUGGCUCAGCCCCAGUACAGUAAGUAAUCAAUAAAUAGCACAAGGGGGCCGGGCGUGGUGGUUCAUGCCUGCAAGCCCAGCACUUUGGGAGGCCAAGGCGGGUGGAUCACCCGAGGUCAGGAGUUUGAGAUCAGCCUGACCAACAUGGUGAAACUCCAUCUCUAUUAAAAACACAAAAAAUGCUGGCUGGGCACGGUGGCUCACACCUGUAAUCCCAGCACACUGGGCGGCCGAGGCAGGUGGAACACGAGGUCAGGAGAUCAAGACCAUCCUGGCUAACAUGGUGAAACCCCGUCUCUACUAAAAAUACAAAAAAUUAGCCAGGCGUGGUAGCAGGCGCCUGUAGUCCCAGCUACUCAGGAGGCUGAGGCAGGAGAAUGGCGUGAACCUGGGAGGCAGAGCUUGCAGUGAGCAGAGAUUGUGCCACUGCACUCCAGCCUGGGCAACAGAGUGAGACUCCAUCUCAAAAAAAAAAAAAAAUACAAAAAAUUAGCUGGGCAUGGUGGUGUGCACCUGUAAUCCCAGCUACUCGGGAGGAUGAGGCAGGAGAAUCACUUGGGCCCAGGAGGCAGAGGCUGCCGUGAGCUGAGAUCACGCUGUCGUACUCCAGCCUGGGCAGCAGAGUGAGACUCUGUCUCUAAAUAAAUAAAUAAAUAAAUGGCACAAGGGCAUAGCAGUCACCUGAUGAGUCACGCAGCCUUUUGGCCAGGCACAGUGGCUCGUGCCUGUAAUCCCAACACUUUGGGAGGCUGAGGCGGAAGGCUUGCUUGAGGCCAGGAGUUCAAGACCAGCCUAGGCAACAUAGUGAGACCCCAUCUCUACAAAAAAAAUAAGCCAAGUGUUGUGGUGCAUGCCUGUAAUAUCACAUACUUGGGAGGCUGAGGCAGGAGAAUCACUUGAACCUGGGAGGUGGAGGUUGCAGUGAGCCAAGAUCGCACUUCAGCCUGGGCGACAGAGUGAGUGAGACUCGGUCUCCAAAAAAACAAACAAACAAAAAGACAGUGCCUGACACAUAGUGAAAUAGGGCUACUAUUAAUUGUUAGACAUUGUGAAAUUUAAUAUAAUCAUGAAACACUCUGCAAAUACAAAGGCCAAUAGUUGAAGACACAGAGAUACCAUGAGUCUGUCAUUACCACGCCCCUUCCUCCCCCUCCCUCAAAUAAUGCCUCAAUUCAUAACUUUGUUAUUUUGUUUUUUGAGACAGGUUCUCGCUCUGUCACCCAGGCUGGAGUGCAAUGGUGCGAUCUCCGCUCACCGCAACCUCUGCCUUCUGGGUUCAAGUGAUUCUCAUGCCUCAACCUCCCGAGCAGCUGGGGUUACCGGCAUGUGCCACGACACCAGCUAAUUUUUGUAUUUUUAGUAGAGAUGGGGUUUCACCAUGUUGGCCAGGCUGGUCUUGAACUCCUGACCCCAAGCGAUCUGCCCACCUCGGCCUCCCAAAGCCCUGGGAUUACAGCCGUGAGCCACCAUGCCCAGACUCAGGCCUAAUCUGAUGGCAGAGGCUUGGGACGUGCACCCGGGCCUCCAUCCCAAGCCCGGCCUCGCUAUCUGCACAUUGCCGCCCCUCUGCAGCCCCGAAACAUUUGUUCCACCAGCUGCAAGGGCGUUCUCACCUCCCUUCAUCCCUCACCAUAUUUUUUUGUUUUGUGGAAGCUGCACAGUUCUGAAGUAAUCGUGCUACUGGGAAACAGGGCUGAGAGUCUCGUUUGUUCAAAGAAAAUCUUUUCCUUCCACGCACAAGUGCUGUGUUUGCACCAUAAAUUGCCUUCUGCAUUAGGUCCCCGCCAGCCUUUCUCCUGGUGUCCUGGUGCCCAACCCUCCCCGAAGGGCUCCAGUCCUGCACUCUCGGGGUGGCAGGUGGCUGCAAACACAGCCGGACCUGAGCCCAGCUCAGCAGCUCAGGGAUAGGUCAGGGAAUAACAAGGGCAGGAGUUCACAUUUAUUGAGCACCUACUAUGUGCUGGGCACUGCACUGGGCACUUCCUUAAUCGGCUGCAUUUUCUUCCUUCCAGCCAGGCACGGUGGCUUCUACCUGUAAUCCCAGCGCUUUGGCAGGCUGAGGCCAGAGGAUCGCUUGAGCCCAGGAGUUCCAGACCAGCCUGGGCAACAUACUCGGUUGAUACAAAAGUAAUUGUGAUUUUUGCCAUUAAAAGUAAUGGCAAGAACCACCUUUACUUUUGCACCAACCUAAUUACAAGACGCCAUCCCUACAAAUUUAAAUUACCAGGUGUGGUGGUGAGUGCCUGUAGUCCAAGCUACUUGGGAGGCUGAAGUGGGAGGAUUGCUUACACCCAGGAGGUCAAGGCUGCAGUGAGUUAUGAUCGUGCCACUACACUCUGGCCUGGGCAACAGAGCAAAACUCUGUCUCUAAAAGAAACAAAAUUGGCCAGGCGCAGUGGCUCAUGCCUGUAAUCCCAGCACUUUGGGAGGCCAAGGCGGGCAGAUCACCUGAGGUCAGGAGUUUGAGACCAGCCUGGCCAAUAUGGUGAAACCCUGUCUCUACUAAAAAUACAAAAAUUGGCCAGGCAUGAUGGCGGGCGCCUGUAGUCCCAGCUACUCGAGAGGCUGAGGCAGGAGAAUCACUUGAGCUUGGGAGGCAGAGGUUGCAGUGAGCCGAGAUCAUGCCACUGCACUCCAGCCUGGGAGACAGUGCAAGACUCCGUCUCAAAAGAAAGAAAAAAAAGAAACAAAAUCAGCUGGGCACAGUGGUUCACUCCUGUAAUCCCAGCACUAUGAGGGACUGAAUCACCUGAGGUCGAGUUCGAGACUAGCCUGGCCAACACAGUGAAGCCCCGUCUACUAAAAUUAGCUGGCAUGGUAGCACACACCUGUAAUCCUAGCUACUCAGGAGGCUGAGGCAGGAGAAUGGCUUGAACCCAGGAGGUGGAGGCUGCAGUGACCCAAGAUCGCACCACUGCACUCCAGCCUGGGCAACAGAGUGAGACUCUGUCUCCAAAAAAGAUAAAAGAAAAGAAACAAAAUCCUCACAGAACGCCGUGAGGUGGGCCCAUCCAUCAUUAUCUCAUUUUACAGAGAAAAAAUGAAAGUAUUCACUUGCCCGAGGCCGGUACAGGAAGCCAGGCAUUACCUACCCCACUGUGGGUACCCACUGGUACGUUGGGAGAUGAAUUCAUCUCCUGUUGGCACGCAUUUCCUUUUUACAUAAAAUUACAUAAAACAGAAUCAGUCACUAUGUCACAAGCCAUGGCAGAGGGAGGCCCCGGGCUGGGUCAGGCGUUGCAGGCAGUACCCAGCUCGCCAUGGAUUGUGGCCAAAUGAGGUUGAGAGACGAUGUUUUCACCUGCAGCUCUCAAAUGCUUGCUCUCAGGAAUCUCCACUCUCUUACUGGGGACCCAGCCGCAAAUGACAUCUUAAUAACAAUAUGAAAAUAAUUUUGCCAGAUGCAGUGGCUCAUGCCUGUAAUCCCAGCACUUUGGGAGGCCGAGGCGGAUGGAUCACGAGGUCAGGAGAUUCAGACCACCCUGGCUAACAUGGUGAAACCCUAUCUCUACUAAAAAUACAAAAAAUUAGCCAGGUGUGGUGGCGGGCGCCUAUAGUCCCAGCUACUCGGGAGGCUGAGGCAGGAGAAUGGUGUGAACCCAGGAGGCGGAGCUUGCAGUGAGCCAAGAUCGCGCCACUGCACUCCAGCCUGGGCGACAGAGUGAGACUUGGUCUCAAAAAAAAAAAAAAAAAAAAUAUAUAUAUAUAUAUAUAUAUAUAUAAUAUAUAUACACACACACAUGCAUAAAUGACCAGUGAGCACAUGCAAAGAAGCCCAACCUUAUUAACCAUCAGGGAAAUACAAAUCAAAAGUAUCAUGAGAUACUACCACCUCACAUCUACUAAGAUGCCUGUAAUCAAACAGACAGAAAACAGCAAGUGUUGGCAAGCACAUGAAGAUAUUGGAACCCUCAAAUAUUGCUGGUGGGAAUAUAAAAUGGUGCAGCUGCUGAGGAGAACAGGUUGGCAUUUCCUGAAAAUGUUGCCGUAUGACUUAGCAAUUUUACUUCUAGUAUAUAUCCAAGAGAAUUGAAAACACGUCCACCUAAGAAUUUGGCCAUGAGGGCUGGGGCAGUGGCUCAGGCCUGUAAUUCCAGCGCCUUGGGAGGUCAAGGCAGGAGGAUCACUUGAGGCCAGGAGCUCCACAUCAGCCUGGGCAACAUAACAAGACCUCAUCUCCACAAAAUAUUUAAAAUUAGAUGGGUGUGGUGGUGCAUGCUUGCAGUCCCAGCUACUUGGGAGGCUGAGGCAGGAGGAUUGCUUGAGCCCAGGAGGUCAAGGCUGUAGUGAACCACGAUUGUGCCACGGCACUCCCUCCUGGGUGACAGGGUGAGACCCUGUGUCAAAACAGAAAAAAAAAAGUUUUGGAAUGGAUGGUGGUGAUGAUUGCACAACAUAAAUGUGCUUCAUGCCCCUGAACUAUAUAUAUAUUUAUUUAUUUAUUUAUUUAUUUAUUUUUUUUUUUUUUUUUUUUUUUUUUUUUUGAGACGGAGUCUCGCUCUGUCGCCCAGGCUUGAGUGCAGUAGUGCAGUCUCGGCUCACUACAACCUCUGCCUCCCAGGUUCAAGCGAUUCUCCUGCCUCAGCUUCCUGAGUAGCUGGGAUUACAGGCGUGCGCCACCACACCCAGCUAAUUUUCAUAUUUUUAGUAGAGACGGGGUUUCGCCAUGUUGGUCAGUCUGGUCUCGAACUACUGACCUCAUGAUCCACCCACCUCAGCCUCCCAACGUGCUGGGAUUAAGGUGUGAGCCACCGCGCACCUGGCCUGAACUAUACAUUUUUAAAUAACUGGCCGGGCGCGGUGACUCAGGCCUGUAAUCGGAGCACUUUGGGAGGCCAAGGUGGGCGGAUCACGAGGCCAGGAGUUCAAGACCAGCCUGGCCAACAUGGUGAAACCCUGUAUCUACUAAAAAUACAAAUAUUAACUGGGCAUGGUGGCUCAUGCCUGUAAUCCCAGCACUUUGGGAGGCCGAGGCAGGCGGAUCACCUGAGGUCAGGAGUUCAAGACCAGCCUGGUCAACAUGACAAAACCCUGUCUCUACUAAAAAUACAAAAAUUAGCCAGGCAUGGUGGCGCACAUCUGUAAUCCCAGCUAUUCGGGAGGCUGAGGCAGGGAGAAUUGCUUGAACCCAGGAGGCAGAGGUUGCAGUGAGCCGAGAUCACGCCACUGGACUCCAGCCCAGGAGACAGAGCAAGACUCCAUCUCGAAAAUAAAAUAAAAUAAAAUAAGAAUACAAAAAUCAGCUGGGCGUUGUGGCAGGUGCCUGUGGUUCCAGCUACUUGGGAGGCUGGGGCAGAAGAAUUGCUUCAACCCAGGAGACGAAUGUUGCAGUGACCCGAGAUGACACCACUGAACUCUAGCCUGGGCCAAUGAGCAAAACUCUUAUCUCAAAAAAAAAAAAAAAAAAAACACUAAGAUGGUUAAUUAAAAAAAAAAAAAAAAGUGGGUGGGAGCAUGGAACAUAUAUUCACAUUUGUUUGGAUAUUAAAAAAAAAAAAACUACCAGUGGCUGGGCGUGGUGGCUCACACCUGUAAUCCCAGCACUUUGGGAGGCCGAGGUGGGCAAAUCACCAGAGGUUAGGAGUUUGAGACCAGCCUGGACAACACGGUGAAACCCCGUCCUACUAAAAAUAUAAAAAUUAGCCGGUUGUGGUGGUGCGCGCCUGUAAUCUCAGCUACUCGGGAGGCUGAGGCAGGAGAGUCACUUGAACCCAGGAGAUGGAGGUUGCAGUGAGCCGAGACUGUGCCAUUGCACUCCAGCCUGGGCGACAGAACGAAGCUCCAUCUCAACAAACAAUACUAAUAAAAUAAACAACUUUCUUACAAUCAAAAUAAAAGAUCAUAUCGUAUCUAGUUUCUGCAACUUCUCUCUGGGAUCAAUAGACUGUGAACUAUUUUUUGUUUACCAGAUCUAUGAUAGGUACGAUUUUAUUGAUUAUUUUUUUUGAGACGGUCGUGCUCUGUCGCCCAGGCUGCAGUGCAGUGGCAUGAUCUCAGCUUACUGCAACCUCCGCCUCCCUGGUUUGAGUGAUUCUCCUGCCCCAGCCUCCCAAGUAACUGGGACUACAGGCGCACACCACCACACACAGGUAAUUUUUGUAUGUUUAGUCGAGACGGGGUUUCACCAUGUUGGUCAGGCUCUUCUGGAACGCCUGACCUCAAGUGAUCCACUCACCUCAGCCUCUCAAAGUGGACUGAUUGAUUGACUGAUUGAUUGAUUGAGACAGUCUCACUCUGUUGCCCAGGCUGGAGUGCAGUGGUGCGAUCAUAGCUCACGGCAGCUUUGAACUCCUGGACUCAAACAGUCCUCCCACCUCACACCACUGCACUCCAGCUCGGGCAACAGAGCAAGACUGUGUCUCAAAAAUAAAAAUAAACAAAAAUAAAAUCUGGAAAAAGGGGGAGAGAGGGAGGGAGGGGAGAAAUGGUGGAAAAACUACCUAUUGGGUACUAUGUUCGCUAUUUGGGUGAUGAGUUCACUGGAAGCCCAAACCCCAGAUUAUACAAUACACCCAUGUACAAAAGCUGCACAGGUACCUCCUAAAUUUUUUUUUUUUUUUGGAAAUGGAGUCUUAGUCUGUCGCCCAGUCUGGAGUGCAGGGGCACAAUCUCAGCUCACUGCAACCUCUGCCUCCCAGGUUCAA